rnacentral:rRNA from 1 species
CCUACGGGGGGCUGCAGUGGGGAAUAUUGGACAAUGGGCGAAAGCCUGAUCCAGCCAUGCCGCGUGUGUGAAGAAGGCCUUCGGGUUGUAAAGCACUUUCAGUGGGGAAGAAAGCCUUGGGGCUAAUACCCUCGAGGAAGGACAUCACCCACAGAAGAAGCACCGGCUAACUCCGUGCCAGCAGCCGCGGUAAUACGGAGGGUGCGAGCGUUAAUCGGAAUUACUGGGCGUAAAGCGCGCGUAGGCGGUCUGAUAAGCCGGUUGUGAAAGCCCCGGGCUCAACCUGGGAACGGCAUCCGGAACGGUCAGGCUAGAGUGCAGGAGAGGAAGGUAGAAUUCCCGGUGUAGCGGUGAAAUGCGUAGAGAUCGGGAGGAAUACCAGUGGCGAAGGCGGCCUUCUGGACUGACACUGACGCUGAGGUGCGAAAGCGUGGGUAGCAAACAGGAUUAGAUACCCUUGUAGUC